GUAGAACAGUGGUUGCCAAUCAGAUAUAUAUUUAUGAAUUUGAAAAAGCGGCAUCAGCAUAUGGAGUAUAUAUGUGUGUGUCUCAAUUGAUACGUUACUCUAGAGCUAGCUCAAAGUAUGUUGAUUUUGUUGAACGAGGUAUACUUCUUUCUCAAAAAUUUCAAAGACAGGGCUAUGAAUCAAUCAAAUUAAAGUCAUCACUCAAACAAUUUUAUGGCCACCAUCAUAAGCUGAUAUGCCAUAAUGACAAAAGUGUGUUAGAAAUCAUAUCUCAGUGAUAUUCUUCCUCAGUCAUAACAAUUUCCAUCAUUACCGAACUGAACAAAAAUAUAACAUGACGGGUACGUAUACGGUGCAGAAAUGCUUACCCUUCGAGACCUGAUUUCAGCUCCUGGUUUUAGUAGAGUUCUGAUGUUUCCUACUUAUUAUUUGUAGUUGAUUAAUGUCUUUGGUUUUAUGAGUCUUUGGUUACUCCUUGGUUUUGAUUGUUAUUGUCUUAUACACUAUACCUUAUGGAUGUAUUUACAUGAUAAAGGCUUGUUAUUACACUUGCAUAUAUGAAUAACACGUGACAAGAAGGUU
rnacentral:lncRNA from 1 species